rnacentral:rRNA from 1 species
CCCCUAGUAACUGCGAGUGAAGCGGGAAAAGCUCAAAUUUAAAAUCUGGCGGUCUUUGGCCGUCCGAGUUGUAGUCUGGAGAAGUGCUUUCCGCGCUGGACCGUGUACAAGUCUCUUGGAACAGAGCGUCAUAGAGGGUGAGAAUCCCGUCUUUGACACGGACUACCAGUGCUUUGUGAUGCGCUCUCAAAGAGUCGAGUUGUUUGGGAAUGCAGCUCAAAAUGGGUGGUAAAUUCCAUCUAAAGCUAAAUAUUGGCGAGAGACCGAUAGCGAACAAGUACCGUGAGGGAAAGAUGAAAAGCACUUUGGAAAGAGAGUUAAACAGUACGUGAAAUUGCUGAAAGGGAAACGCUUGAAGUCAGUCGCGUUGGCCAGGACUCAGCCUUGCUUUUCGCUUGGUGCAUUUUCUGGUUGACGGGCCAGCAUCGAUUUUGACCACUGGAAAAAGGCUAGGGGAAUGUGGCACCUUCGGGUGUGUUAUAGCCCUUAGUCACAUACAGUGGUUGGGAUCGAGGACCGCAGCACGCCUUUAUGGCCGGGGUUCGCCCACGUUCGUGCUUAGGAUGCUGGCGUAAUGGCUUUAAACGACCCGUCUUGAAACACGGACCAAGGAGUCUAACAUGCCUGCGAGUGUUUGGGUGGAAAACCCGAGCGCGUAAUGAAAGUGAAAGUUGAGAUCCCUGUCGUGGGGAGCAUCGACGCCCGGACCUGAACUUCGGUGAUGGAUCUGCGGUAGAGCAUGUAUGUUGGGACCCGAAAGAUGGUGAACUAUGCCUGAAUAGGGUGAAGCCAGAGGAAACUCUGGUGGAGGCUCGUAGCGAUUCUGACGUGCAAAUCGAUCGUCAAAUUUGGGUAUAGGGGCGAAAGACUAAUCGAACCAUC